rnacentral:misc_RNA from 1 species
ACAAACUUGGUCAUUUAGAGGAAGUAAAAGUCGUAACAAGGUUUCCGUAGGUGAACCUGCGGAAGGAUCAUUACAACGAAAAAACGUGCCCGAAAGGGUGCGUUAUUUCACACCAUUGUGUACCUAACUUUUGUUGCCUCGGUGGGUGGGGUUGUGCCUACCCGGCCGGCCCCCUUCAGGGAGCCGCCCACCGCAGGACCUUCCAAACCAGUUCGUCGAUGAACGUCUGAUUUAUUCUUUUAAAGAAAUACAACUUUUAACAAUGGAUCUCUUGGCUCUGGCAUCGAUGAAGAACGCAGC